GAGAGACAGAGGGAGAAAACAAGACACACACACCAGAGGCACAUGUAACAUCAACCUAGAAACUAUAAGGCUGUGUGUCAGACUCUCCUGGGGAGAGAAAUCAAUAUAAGAGAUACCCAGUCUGGACCGGAGAAGGGAUUAUAUUAUCAGGAAAUGGUAUUAAGUCACAUGGAUCAACAGUCGCCCACAGAUAAAAGGAGGGCCAAUGUCUAAAGGAUGCUUCAUCGGACUGAACCCCUCUAGUGGGACCAAGACAACAAAGAUGAUGAGCCAAAAAAGUGGGAAGGUACAGGAGAAGAAGAGAAACUGCAUUAACCCUCAUGUCUCCUCUCUACUCAAGAGGCUGAUGGAUGUUGAAUGGCUUCCAUUGUAAGUCAUAUACAAACGACUUCCUCACUAUUUGAACGGACAUUGUUCUAAUCUUCUAAUGUUUAAUUUUUGCCUGUUGUGGAUGUGAUGUUUUGAACGGUUAUUGUAAUCCAGGUCUUGAUUUUAUAUUGGGUCUUUAAGCAACAUAUAAUGGUGAAUUUUAAUAUUGCUGGACCUCGUUGCAACUCUUAAUUUGAAUUCCAUUGAAUGUUUAAUGAGCUGUUUAGAAAAAGAAAAGUUACAUUAGGUUCUGAAAACUUACAGUAUUGUAACACUGUAUUGCGUUUUAAUAAUAAAAUGUCAUGAUUUUUAUUA